ensembl:lncRNA
AUUCGGGCCGGCGGAGCCGCGCGGGUGUCCUGCAGGUGUGCCGGGUGUGUUUUACUCAGGGAGAGACAUGAACCUCCGGUUGGCAUCACAGACCCUCUUGAAGCGUGAUUUACUCUGCGGAUCUGGCUCGGCUGCAGGAGGACGGCGUGCACACACGCGUGUUCCACCUGAUUACCGCCGCGGAGCCUCGCCAGGCGGGACCUCUGGAAGUGCCAGCGGAUCAUCGCCAUCUUGCAUUUGUUUUUGGAGGCCUCUACCUGUGAGUCCUGAACACGGCUCUUCCCUCAAAGCCCGCGGCGCUCUCCUCCGUCCCUCCGCCGCUGUGAUGGACUCCGGGGUCACGACUCGCUUCCUGCUGGAAACUCGCUUUUCCCUGAGAGGAGUCGUGAGAGGGACGGAGACACAGCACCAACUCGGCGAUGAACACGCAGGACCUGCUCUACAAUUACAGUUUAAACAGGGUUCGUACGGUCAUGGAAAACCUGGAAAAGUCAUGAAAUUUUGAAAUGCUCAUUUCCAGGCCUGGAAAAGUCAUGGAAAAAAAUAAAAUCCCAAAAGUCAUGGAAAUGUGUUAUAUUCAUAUUUUUGUUGUUCAUUUACGCUGAAUUUUAAAUCAUUUAAUUUGAUUUUAAAGUAAAGAUAUAAGCAGGCAUACGCUCUCAUACUCGCAG